GCCAGACAACACAGGAAAGAUUUUUAAAUCAUUUAUUUUCCAUUGCACAGUAAUUUCUAUCUACAGAAAUUCUAAAUUGUUUGUGGCAGCAGAUAGUCAUAAACAUCCAAUGUGAAAUUUGCAUAAAACUGUACAAGAAAUUGGCUACAAUGAGAAAAUACUGCAACCCACUGAUAACGGUUAUAUUCAGGACAGAAAUGAACGAGGCUCUUCUGCAUGUUAAAAGUGUAAUAUUUCAGGUAAGAAUGUUCUGUCUGAGACAAAUAAAACAAUUCACUUAAAGUCAACAUGAAACAUUACAAAAUGAAUAAAUUAAAUUAAAUUAAAUUUAAGCCAAGAAAGCAACAAGAACUUUUUUCUCCUUAGUCAUGAUAGAUAACAAAAGGCAAACAACCAGGUUCACAUCAAGAGUGAGUCUGAAAACCUCUCUGAAACAGUCAUGAAUGAACUGAGGCUGUGAUCAAUAAAUUCUGCUGGAGUUAGAACACUUAUUACUGACAUUUACAGCAUUACAGUUCAACACGGCGGAUUGGAUACUUUAUCGAUUGACAAUGACAAAACAGCAACCUAGGACAUCAAAUAUUUCCUGGAAAUAUCUCAUGAGUACAUGAGCCAACAUCUUGAUAAAACAAUUUUUGGUUUUGAAUUGUAUCAACCAUGUCGGGGUCCAAAAUGUAUUUUCCAACACACAUAAUCAAAAGGAUGGCAUUUUUAAAAUGAACCACACUUAUAUGUGGCAAUUUCAAGGAAAAGCUCACUCACUCGUGUUGAAUUCAGAAAUCACCCUGUUCUGUCAAUGAUGGCAUAAACAAACAGAUCAUCCAACAGAAAACAAAGAUAUGAAGACAAGUAAGCUCAAACUACAUCCUCCUCAAAGCAUAUAUAAAAAUAAUUUUUUAAUAAUUGAUGAUUAAAAAUAAGACAAGGAUAUCUAUUCAGGGAAAUACAGUACUGCAGAGAAAAAUACACAUUGUACAAAUAUAAUUUAAUUAGUUAAUCAGGAGAGAUGACGUACGAGCGAGAUAUUCAAAAACAAACCCGGUCUUCAGAAACACUGUAACACCAUGGCAUGAAAACACAUCUACAGAGAAUAUAGAGUCCAACACAGAGAAACAUUUAGAGUCUGAGAGAGAUUGGCUUCGUUUUGUUUUGUAAUUCUUUUUUCCCCCCAUUUUUCUUUGUUUGAAGUAUGGCAUACAAACACAUGAAAGGCAGACUAGCACAGCGCCAAAAACAUCAGAAAAGUCCUCAACACUGUUACUGGUGAAAUAUGCAGUGGUACUUCAGACACAGACACCUGUCGAACACAGUCAAUGGAAUACAGAACUCAAUGAAAGAAAAUCUUUGGCGUUUGAAAAGAUAUGGCAACUGUCUUAGGGUCAAUUUAUGCUCCCAGAUUGUCGAACUACUUCUCUCAUUCACAGAAUGGCAAAAAAACUUUGGGCAGAGAGGCAAGUGAACAUCAGUAUCUGGAACAACAAUGGAUCAUGUGAUGAAUGCAACAUAUAUAGCAGCAUUUCUUGCAAACCACUAAUAAAUAUAAUGGCACUAAAAUGUGGUUUCAAGGGAGAAAUGGGACAAGAAAGACAUUUGCUGUACAAUUUUUAUUUUUGUAUUUAAUGUUACUAAAUUCUAGUUUUCUGGUUUGGAAUGUACACCUAACACUCAUUGUAGUUGUUUUCACAGAUGGAGAUGAUGUUGAAGCACGUUCUGUGUUACGGCAUCACACAUGAAGCACCAGUGUGAAACCAGAAAGAAACCUGUUAUCCUGACAUUCAGAACUACAAUGAAUAUUGUUUCCAAGUCAGUGAAAGCGUUCCGCCCUACUUCACGCUUAUAAUCAAGUCUCAAGUCACCAAAGAUUAGAGCUGGAAAACCGCUCCAUAUUUCCAGUUAUGAAAAGAGCCGCUUCCAAGAGUACAGAAUGAGAAAGCUGGUCUAAUGGACCAAAUCAAAUCCCAGAGUCAACGCCGAAAAGACUGUGAUGUCAUUUUUGUUGUUAUCACAACAAAUGUUCUAGCUGUUGAGGUCUAUAUGGCUGUCUACCCAACAAAACAUGGAUAACUUUAAACCUUAAAUUUGCCUACUUUCUUUCACAACACAGUCCAGACCAGAUAUUUUCUGUGCGGAGUUUCACAGAAAGUUUAAACAUCUGUAUAAUGUAUCACAUGAAAAUACCAUCAUUAAAUCACUCAUGGUUGGUUUAUAAAUAGUUAUUUCAUAAUUCAUUCAUUUACCACAUGGAUCUGUCAUUUAAUUCUCUGGAUCAUGUCAACUUAUUAUAAACCCUCUAGAUGGUUCUUUAAUGUAAAGCAUUAUUGUAGUGAUAUUCACAAUAAUUCCAUAAAAAUAUCACCCAAAAAGCAUUGUAUAUUUAAUUAGACAUAUACAGUUCAUUUUGCAAAUUAUUUAAAUUUUUUUGCAAAAUAAAUAAAUAAAUAAUCCAA
ensembl:lncRNA